CUUCGACGGGUGAUCUAUCAGUAAUAUAAUAAUAUCAAUCACAAAUUUACAGUGUUUUUCAUUUAAUUCAAUUUAGAAAGUGCGGUAAUAAGCUGUUAGUGUGGCAAUAAACAUCGAGGCAAUUAUUUGGAUACGCUUCGCAGUUUGACUUCAUAUUACAAGCAGCGAUGAUGGCGAACACUCGUGGCUGGAAAUGCUUGGUUAUCAGUAUAACAGCUCUCGUUGCUUUUGAUGUUGUCGUUGUAUGUGGUGAAAUAGACAAAGGUUAGCACUAUAUAUACAUAUAUGUAGCUAAAAAUUAUCUGUAGAGUGUAGUGUUGUUGGGUCUCUAUAUCUAUAAUUUACGAGCUUGAUUCAAGGACUAUAAUUGCUAUACCUGGAAACUAUAAUCCUCCCUGAUAGUUCUUUCAGGCCGAGAGUUGAUGAGAG